rnacentral:lncRNA from 1 species
AAAAUUGUUAAAAAUUUGAUGCAAAUAAAGGAUUUUACAUUUUUUAUUGGUCUUACAAAGUGAUCCCAAACUUUCCUAAUCAUAAUACUAUUGUCAAAUCUUUAUACUGACCAACAGAAUUAUUGACUAAAUCAUGUUUGUGAAACAAGAAUGCGAUGACCCUUAAUUUUGUUGGUAUUGACCAUAUCAUUAGCAUUUUUUAUGAUUUUUGAAAAUUUCUCUAAAAUUACUUAAAACUGAUAUAUAUUUUUUUU